UUUAUAGCUUCUGCAUUGCAAUAAGAAAGUGUCGUUUCCAUAGAAUGUUUUAACAGUUCAAAGGACUUGGGAAAUAGUUUUCUAAUUCUUUUUCUGCUGAUAGAAAUUUUUGAUGCUAUUUCUUGAGGGAGAAAUGCUCGAUUUGGAAUUUUUUCUUCUAAAUCUGAGAGAUGGAAUUUAUUUCCUUCUGCAAGGGUUGAGAUUCUGAAGUAAGAAAAUUUGUCUGCCGUAUUGGAGUUGACAGGUAAUGCACCAUUAUUACUGUACGUAUUGGAAAAUCUUGGGCUCCUAGUAUAGUUUAAUCCGGAUGAACAAGAGAGUUUAGCAAGUGAGCAAAAACUAGGAUUUUCUGAGAAAUCGUUUUUGGUUAUCAAUUUUUUGUAAUAAUCACGAUCCCUUUUUGUUAAUGGGGAUAGUUUUUUGAAGACUGAAUAAGGCAUUUUGUUGCGCACAUUUUCAGACCAGAACUUGAUCUGGUCAGAAGCAAUCGAUGAUGGUGAGUAUUGAUUUGACGCAAAGGAAGUGAAACUAAGCGAAAAGGCCAAGUGAAAGAAGAGGAGAGAGGGGAGAGAAUGUGAAGUAGCCAUUCUUUUUUCUAGAGAGAGAAAUUUUGCAUGUGUUAGAAUAUUAUAAGCCCUCAUUUGGCCUCCAUUAUUUCAAUUUAUAAUGGGAGAAUAGUGUUUUUUUGAAAAAUGAAUGGUUG
rnacentral:lncRNA from 1 species